rnacentral:pre_miRNA from 2 species
GAUUUCAAUUGAAAAAGUUAUCAACAACAAAGUUGAAUAACUCAUUGGUCAUUUCUUCAUCCGACAAAGUGAUAGUAACAUUAUUUACAAAAUUGACAUAUCUUAUCUGGUUUUAUAAACUAUAACACAUAUAUGUAAAAUUUGUGAACAACGUUACUAACAUUUUGUCGGAUGAAGAAAUAACAAAAAUAAAAGUUUUAGAUCUUGAUGAGUUAUAUAAUUUUGUUGUUGAUGGCCUUUUCAAUUGAAAUC